rnacentral:rRNA from 1 species
AUUGAACGCUGGCGGCAGGCCUAACACAUGCAAGUCGAACGGUAACAGGAAGAAGCUUGCUUCUUUGCUGACGAGUGGCGGACGGGUGAGUAAUGUCUGGGAAACUGCCUGAUGGAGGGGGAUAACUACUGGAAACGGUAGCUAAUACCGCAUAACGUCGCAAGACCAAAAAGGGGGACCUUCGGGCCUCUUGCCAUCGGAUGUGCCCAGAUGGGAUUAGCUAGUAGGUGGGGUAACGGCUCACCUAGGCGACGAUCCCUAGCUGGUCUGAGAGGAUGACCAGCCACACUGGAACUAAGACACGGUCCAGACUCCUACGGGAGGCAGCAGUGGGGAAUAUUGCACAAUGGGCGCAAGCCUGAUGCAGCCAUGCCGCGUGUAUGAAGAAGGCCUUCGGGUUGUAAAGUACUUUCAGCGGGGAGGAAGGGAGUAAAGUUAAUACCUUUGCUCAUUGACGUUACCCGCAGAAGAAGCACCGGCUAACUCCGUG